rnacentral:lncRNA from 1 species
ACACAUCAACCAGAAAUUUUAGAACCAAUCAAAGAAGUAUCAACAUGCCUCAAACAUAUAAUCAAUUUAUCAUCAAGUGAUAUCAAAAACAAACUCGAAACACAAGCCUCAACGGUCAUGCAUUCCUUUAAUUCUACUUACUUUAUCUCCUAAGCAUAGAGAAGUCUAGAACCUAGGAUAUUUCAUGUAAAGGCUGCGAUCGAUACUCAGUGUCACUUAGAGUACCCUUCUACACUAAACAUGAAUCAUUAAGUGCUAUAGAAUUCUGAAUUUGAACAUGCCCAAGUGUACAGGAACCUGGUUAACCUGCAAACAUGUAACACAUAGUCUCGACUAUUAUUACAUAACCUUCACUACUGGAGAUCUCUACUUACUUGAAGAAGCUUAGUAUAGAUCGUAGCAACACUAACCUGCAUAUUAGAGUUUUAGUUCAAACAAAACUAUGCAUUUAAUGAAAUCAACAAUGCAUAAAACGAAUCACAUGCUAUCAUAGACAAGUUAAAAUAUGCUUUUUAUUCUGAAAAUUAACUUAUUCAUGUUCUUAACAACCAGCCAAUUCCAACUUUGAAAUCUAAUACAAGAAAACAAAGAACAAUAACAAGAUAGAAGAAACAAGACAUAGUUACACUUUAUGAAUAUUCAAGGAAGCUUGAGAUGUUUGAAGGAUAACACACGCUUUAUGCUUCUCGGCAACUUUCUGGAGAAGUCCUACAAAGGUGCUGGCUUGGAUUGCUUCUUUUCUAGAGAGAGGCAUUGAAAAGGAAAAUGAAGGCUUAUCUGAUUUUUGGGUGAAGAGGAGAUGAUCUGAGAAGUACACAAGGCUAUCUUUAUAUAGUGAAAAUCUUGAUGAAACUUCUCUUCCAAAAUGAUGUGGGACUAGCUCCAUAAGUUUGACUUCUUUUUUUUUUUUAGAGUUGGAAUCCAAACUUGUUUCUUCCUCCAAAAUGAUGUGGGACUAGAUGCACAUGUUUGACUUUUUUUCUUCCUUUUUAGAGUUGGAUUUCAAAUUUGCUUCUUCUUCCUUCCUUGGACUUGGAACCCAAAUUUACAUCUCCUUCCUUUCUUGGACUGCAAGAAGGCUUCUUUGUCUUUUUCUGUAUUUUUCUCUUAUUUCCGCCAUUUAGCCUUCUUUUCUCGAUUUAAGCUCUCAUGUCCUCUACAAUCACAAAACAUGUUAGAAAUGGUAUUAUUAAGGAAAUAACAUGGCCAAAUAGGGUAGGAAACACAUUAAAAUCAUAGCAUAUUAUACUCAUAUCAGCAAGGGCUCUUACUAUCCUCAGUAAUCAGCAAAAUCCCAAAAUUACGAGUUAUGGCCUUUGAACAUUACAGAAAUUACCUGAACUUCUCAAUUUUUCAACCAAAGCAGUUAAAUAAAUCAACUCAUUAUUCAAUUAUAAUGUACAGAUUAAAUCCACAAUUCCAUAUUAAAUCCAUUAUAAUGUUCUCAUAAGCUAAUACUAUGAUUGCAAAACAAAAAAGCAUGGACAAGUAUAAGCAAACAAAUUAAAUGUCAGGACCCACCCCGAAUUUCACCCUGAAACCUGAAAUAAAUUCUGCGGGGACCGCCUCCAAGGACAGUUUACCGAAAUAUCGGCAUAACCUCCCUUGAAAAUGGACAACCCUUCCUAAUAAUACCUGCAUACACUUCAAAAGAAUUCAUCUAUAACCCUCUCCUCUUGGAGCCUUUGUGCUCCCCAAAUCACAACAUCUCCCAAUUUAUUUACUCACUUUAAUAAGAAAAACUCACAACCAAUAAUCAUAGGUUCAGAGCAAUUCUAUUUGAGAGGAAAGGAAUUACAGAUAUAAAAAAUAAGCGGAAGCUAUACUAAUGACUACGCCUCUUCUCCAUGUACGCCCGACCUCAACAAAGCUAACCUACAUACUGGGCAUUUUUAAAACGAAAGACCCAGGGAAAAACAUUUGCAAACGUUAGAGUGAGUGGACAAAAAUGAAUUUAAUUAAAAUAUUUAUGCUUUCCCAACUUAAAUUUCCAUAGAAAAUAUGCUACAUGCGACAGCUUAAAAGCUCUCAACUCAUAAACUGGCAAAUACAUGACUAGCUCCGGCUAGUCUCCAAAAACUUAAUAAAAUACAGCCUCUCAGGCUAAACCAUAUAUAUAUAUAUAUAUAUAUAUAUGUAUGUAUUUACACUCGUCAUAUUCCUUGUACGAAUUCCAUGAAUGAAUAAGAAAAAUAGAAAUUCAUACAAGGCUACUACGCUUGCGUCUAACACUCACAUCGCACCAUAAUGAAAUUUUUACCUCAUUAUGGCGGAAAAACAUGAGUGUAUAUAUCCGUGCAUAUUCCCUAUAUAAAUUACUAAAUUUAUAUAGGGCUACGACGAUUGCGUCUAACGCUCACGUCGCGCCAUAAUUGAAUUUUUACCUCAUCAUGACGGAAAAACACGUAUAGCUAGCUAACAUUUAUUUAUAUACAUACUAUCCUCAUAAUCAUCCAUAUACAUAUCCACCGAAAAUCUCAUUUUCGGUAACUUUCCGAAAUAAUGAAAAUUUCCAAUUAUAAAAGAACAAUAACAAUAUGACUCCACCGAAAAUCAAGAAAGAUCGCCAAAUUAAAAUGACAUCACAAGCUCCAAUAAAAACAACUGUUCCACAAUAACUCAAUGCAUGCAUAUUAUUUAAAACAAACGUCCAUUUACAACUUUAGGCAUAAGCCUGACGAAAUCUAAUUCGCCACCCAAGUGAGGUCUCCUCGAAUCCUGGUACAAUAACCAUGCUUAGGACUAAACUUCAAUUUCAGAAAAAAUAAUACUUAAAUAUAUAACCCAAAACUCUUCCACCUAACCCACUACCUUUUCUAGGGUUAAGCUUAUCGGAUUGACACCAAACUCCAACCACAGCCUCAUUUCAUUUAUCUCUAAAUUCUAAAACAAUAAGGGAAAUCCAAUGGUCGGAUUCUACCCCAUUAACCACCAAAUUCACCAAUCUUUCAAAAAUCCCAAACCUAUCAAAAAAUUCCUCACUUCACAUCAUUAAACUCCCCUUAAUAUUAAACAUUUAAAACCAUGAAAAAUCCCCCUAACAGCGGCGGCGCCACCGUCUGCUCCGCCGGCAACGGCGGCCGACGGCCGACUCCAGCAACCUCAAUGCCUACCAAAAUUUAACAGCAUCUUCCUCUCAACCCCCUCUACAACUUUCCUAACUAGCACAAACACAAAUUCCAAGCCUAGAUAGGGCAAUCGAACAAAAACAUCAAAUGAGCCCUAGAAUUUCCAACACCAAAAUCUCCUUACCUAGACUAAGGGGGAGGGAAGCCUUUGGAGGGAUUGAUGCAUGGGAGGAGAGGUUCCAAAUGAGCCAAGAAUCGCCGACUAUGGCGGUCGGAGGAGAGAGUUCUAGCGAGAAGACCAUCAGGCUUCUAAGGAGGACUUCCUCCGCUCGGUGGCGUUGCAGCGCCGCUCACCAGCCCAGGAAGACGGCGGAGAGGGCGACGGACUGAGCUGGACCGGUGCGGCGUCUCCUCCUGGCCGGACGGCGGCGAUGGGAGCUCGGGGUUUCCGGCAGUGUGAGAGGAAGAGGGAGAGUCGGGGAAAGAAGAGAAGGAAGAGAAAAGAGAAAAGAGAAAUGGUUUGGGCCUCCCCAAACCGGUCCAACACCUUAAUACCCACACUUAAAAUACACCCAACUCCAAAAAUAAUACCCUAAUAAAAAUUACCUUUUACUAGCUAAAAUUUACCAUUUUUACCGUCGUCAUAUUUUUCUUCUACGAAUAAUUCCUCCGAAAUAAACGUCUCCGAAAACCCCUCUGGGGACCAAUUAAACCAUAACUCAUUGACGAAGACAGUAAAACUCUUAUUAAUACCAAGCUAGUAAAUAAGGUAAAAAUUUAAGGGUCGGGAUGUGACAUUAAAAGUAUUAGCAAAUAUGAACAAGAUAAUUCUUUUCAAUGCCCAGAUGCCUCUAGACUCCUCUUUAGCAAUCAAAACUACUUGAAGAUAGAAUCACGACUUCAUAUAAGCUAUAUAUGCUGAAAGCAAUAAUAUAUAGCAUCAUGGGCCAUUUCAAUUUGUCUAGCAAAGCUCAAAUAAGUCCGUUUUCAGAUUAUAUAUGAAAAAUAAGUACUGAAAUAGCAUCCUGGGCCAUUUCAAUUUGUCUAGCAAAGCUCAAAUAAGUCCGUUUCCAGAUUAUAUAUGAACAAUAAGUACUGAAAUUAAGCAAAAGAAGUAUAAUAACAUGAUCGAUCAUGAUUGGCAACUUAGAUCAAUAAUUUGGCAACUUCAAUAAACUGUAUAUUGAAACCAAUUUCAUUUUCAGAAAAACCGAUUCUUAUUAUCAAAAGAUUGAUGCCAUGAUUAUAUACGCCGAUCAAGGGAAGCAAUAGAAAAACAUGAAACGAAUAAUAAUCGAUCGAAUAGAACGAAACAACAAAGAAACACAAUUGAUGUUACCUACAGUAGCCAUCACUGGAGUCUCUUUUUUGGUGCCCAGUGUUCUUCAAUUUUACGAUGAGAACAUAUGUAUAUAUAGGAUUAGGGUUGAGAAGUAAACUAGUAUGGAAGACCUCUAUUAUCGGCGAGUAUCCUGUCUGCUCUUGGUGCGUAUUUUCAUUGCUCUUGACGCCUAUUUUCAUUACUCUUGGCGCCUAUUGUUUCUAUGUGAUGCCUAUUGUUUCUAUGCGAUAUAAGAAGAUAUUCUUAUAGAUAAGGG